UACGUAGGGUGCGAGCGUUAAUCGGAAUUACUGGGCGUAAAGGGCGCGUAGGCGGCCUGUUAAGUCGAACGUGAAAUCCCCGGGCUCAACCCGGGAACUGCGUCCGAUACUGGCAGGCUUGAAUUCGGGAGAGGGAUGUGGAAUUCCAGGUGUGGCGGUGAAAUGCGUAGAUAUCUGGAGGAACACCGGUGGCGAAGGCGGCAUCCUGGACCGAUAUUGACGCUGAUGCGCGAAAGCCAGGGGAGCAAACGGG
rnacentral:rRNA from 1 species